rnacentral:sRNA from 1 species
AGAACUGCAAGAUGUGAUGUUGACAGCGGAGACAGAGACAAAAGCUGAGAAACUUGAGUCAAAGAUGACUAAAUUUUAAGGCCUGGAAAGUGCAGGAGAUGGAAAUACAACCAACAAAAUGGGAGCACAUUGGAACUUUGAAGUAGCAAGUUUCUGUAGGACUGGGCUUGUGGGAAAGGACCGGUUGAAAGAAAGACAUGCUGAGUCGUUGCUUGACAUUUGUCAUGAUACAAACUCUUCUCCAACUGAUAUGAUGACAGUUACCAAAAAUCAAAACAUCAUCUUGCAAAGCAUCAGCAGCAGUGAGGAGUUCGACCAAGAUGGUGAGUGCAGUCAUUCCACACUGGUUAAUGAAGAAGAAGAUCCCAGUGGUGGUAGACAGGACUGGCAACCCAGGACAGAAGGUGUUGAGAUCACUGUGACUUUUCCAAGAGAUGUCAGUCCUCCCCAAGAAAUGAGCCAAGAAGACUUAAAAGAAAAGAAUCAGAUAACCUCAUCUCAUCAAGAAUGGGCACAAGCACCUGCAGUUUCUCAUCCAAAUGAAGUAGAAACGGUGGAGCUCGGGACAAAGACGCUGACCAUGCGGCCCUUAGUUUUGCAAAAAGAGGAAAGUUCCAGGGAGCUCUGUGAUGUGAACUUGGGCUUUUUGCUGCCAAGAUCUUGUUUAGAACCAAACAUUUCCAAGUCUGUAACCAGAGAAGAUGCUCCUCAUUUUCUGAAGGAGCAGCAAAGAAAAUCUGAAGAAUUUUCUACCUCUCAUAUGAAGUACAGUGGCCGAAGCAUCGAGUUCCUUCUGCCACCACUGUCACUCUUGCCCACGCGAUCUGGUGUCCUUACUAUCCCCCAAAAUCACAAGUUUCCAAAAGAAAAAGAAAGAAACAUUCCAAGCCUCACAUCUUUUGUGCCUAAGCUCUCAGUGUCUGUUCGUCAAUCUGAUGAGCUUAGCCCAUCAAACAAGCCGCCGGGAGCCCUAGUUAAGUUGUUGAUGGAUCCGACUCUCAGGUCUUCUGAUGGCUUCAUUUGGUCAAGAAACAUGUGCUCUUUCCCUAAGACUAACCAUCACAGACAAUGCCUGGAGAUGGAGGAGGACUGGAAAUCCAAGGAAAUAGAAGAAUGUAACAAAAUUGAAACCACUCACUUUGAAAAAGGGCAGUCUUUGGUGUCUUUUGAGAAUUUGAAGGAAGGCAAUAUUCCUGCAAAUAGGGAAGAGGAUAUUGACUGCCAUGGUAGUAAAACGCGAAAACCUGAAGAAGAGAACUCUCAAUAUCUUUCAUCAAGAAAGAAUGAGAGUUCAGUAGCCAAAAACUAUGAACAAGAUCCAGAAAUAGUAUGUACCAUUCCAAGCAAGUUCCAAGAAACCCAGCAUUCAGAAAUAACUCCAAGCCAGGAUGAAGAGAUGAGAAAUAAUAAAGCUGCUUCAAAAAGAGCUUCAUUACAUAAAAAUGAAGCAAUGGAACCAAACAAUAUUUUAGAAGAGUGUACUGUACUUAAAAGCUUGUCCAGUGUAGUCUUUGAUGACCCCAUUGAUAAACUCCCAGAAGGUCAUAGCAGCAUGGAGACAAACAUAAAAAUAUCAAUAGCAGAAAGAGCCAAACCAGAAAUGAAUGGGAUGGUGCCUCUUAUCCACAUCACCUUCCCUGUGGAUGGAAGCCCCAAGGAACCAGUGAUAGGCAAACCAAGCCUCCAAAAAAGAAAGGGAACCUUUCAUAACAACCAUAGUGUCAACAUACCUGUACACCAAGAAAAUGACAAACAUAAGAUGAAUUCCCAUAGGAGUAAGUUGGAUUCAAAGACCAAGACAAGUAAGAAGACACCUCAGAAUUUCGUGAUUCCUAUUGAAGGUCCCGUUAAGCCUACCAUGCAUAAAACCAGCAUAAAAACACAGAUUUUCCCGGCUUUGGGACUUGUUGACCCCAGGCCUUGGCAAUUGCCCAGGUUUCAAAAGAAAAUGCCACAGUUAGCAAAGAAGCAAUCAACUCACUGGACUCAGAAACCUAAAAAGCAAUCAUUUCCUUGCAUCUGUAAAAAUCCAGGAAUACAAAAGUCAUGUGUUCCUCUCUCUGUUCAACCGACAGAGCCAAGACUAAAUUACCUAGAUCUUAAGUAUAGUGAUAUGUUCAAAGAAAUCAAUUCAACUGCUAAUGGACCUGGAAUCUAUGAAAUGUUUGGGACCCCUGUUUAUUGUCAUGUGCGAGAGACUGAAAGGGAUGAAAACAAGUAUCACCAUGAGAUAUGUUCGGCUCCAUCAGGCAGACGUAUCACCAAUAAAUGUCGAUCUUCACACAGUGAGAGGAAGAGCAAUAUCAGAACAAGACUUUCUCAGAAAAAAACACAUAUGAAACCCCCAAAGACUUCAUUUGGCAUUAAACAAGAGCACAAAGUCUUAAUUUCUAAAGAAAAGAGUUCCAAGGCUAUACAUAGCAACCUACAUGACAUUGAAAAUGGUGAUGGUAUUUCAGAACCAGACUGGCAGAUAAAGUCUUCAGGAAAUGAGUUUAUAUCUUCCAAAGAUGAAAUUCAUCCCAUGACCUUGGCUCAGACACCUGAGCAGUCCAUGAAACAGAAUGAAUUCCCUCCUGUCUCAGAUUUAUCCAUUGUUGAAGAAGUUUCUAUGGAAGAGUCUACUGGUGAUAGAGACAUUUCUAACAAUCAAAUACUCACCACAAGCCUCAGAGAUCUACAAGAACUUGAAGAGCUACAUCACCAGAUCCCAUUUAUCCCUUCAGAAAACAGCUGGGCAGUGCCCAGUGAGAAGAAUUCUAACAAGUAUGUACAGCAAGAAAAGCAGAAUACAGCAUCUCUUAGUAAAGCAAAUGCCAGCCAAAUUUUAACUAAUGAUCUAGAGUUUGAUAGUGUUUCAGAUCAGUCUAAAACACUUACAAAUUUCUGUUUCCAAGAAAAACAAGAAAGUGCGUCUUCCCAGACAUAUCAAUAUUGGGUACAUUAUUUGGAUCAUGAUAGUUUAGCAAAUAAGUCAAUCACCUAUCAAAUGUUUGGAAAAACCUUAAGUGGCACAAAUUCAAUUUCCCAAGAAAUUCUGGACCCUGUAAAUAAUGAAGAAUUGACAGAUGAACUAUUAGGUUGUCUAGCUGCAGAAUUAUUAGCUCUUGAUGAGAAAGAUAACAACUCUUGCCAAAAAAUGGCAAAUGAAACAGAUCCUGAAAACCUAAAUCUUGUCCUCAGUCGGAGAGGAAGUACCCCAAAAGAAAUGGGUGGAGAGACAACAAAUGUCAAAAGACAGAGGCAUAGUAGUGGGCUCAGGAUAUAUGACAGGGAGGAGAAAUUUCUCAUCUCAAAUGAAAAGAAGAUAUUUUCUGAAAAUAGUUUAAAGUCUGAAGAACCUAUCCUAUGGACCAAGGGUGAGAUUCUUGGAAAGGGAGCCUACGGCACAGUUCAAGUCCAAUGCGAAAGAAAUAUCUUCCUUCAACAGCUGAAUAUGUUACUGGAAGUUUGGAGAAUCAUUGCUAGAUGGCAAAAACAAAAGAUGUUCCUUACAUUUUGUGAACUGCCUAAGAGAUCUUGGGGGGUGGGCGAUGAAGAGAGGUAUACUGUGGUCUCACUAGCCAAGGGCAGCUAAUAGCUGUAAAACAGGUGGCUUUGGAUACCUCUGAUAAAUUAGCUACUGAAAAGGAAUACCGGAAACUACAGGAAGAAGUAGAUUUGCUUAAAGCACUGAAACAUGUUAACAUUGUGGCCUAUUUGGGGACAUGCUUGCAAGAGAACACUGUGAGCAUUUUCAUGGAGUUUGUUCCUGGUGGCUCAAUCUCUAGUAUUAUAAACCGUUUUGGGCCAUUGCCUGAGAUGGUGUUCUGUAAAUAUACGAAACAAAUUCUGCAAGGUGUUGCUUAUCUCCAUGAGAACUGUGUGGUACAUCGCGAUAUCAAAGGAAAUAAUGUUAUGCUCAUGCCAACUGGAAUAAUAAAGCUGAUUGACUUUGGCUGUGCCAAGCGUUUGGCCUGGGCAGGUUUAAAUGGCACCCACAGUGACAUGCUUAAGUCCAUGCAUGGGACUCCAUAUUGGAUGGCCCCAGAAGUCAUCAAUGAGUCUGGCUAUGGACGGAAAUCAGAUAUCUGGAGCAUUGGUUGUACUGUGUUUGAGAUGGCUACAGGGAAGCCUCCACUGGCUUCCAUGGACCGGAUGGCCGCCAUGUUUUACAUCGGAGCACACCGAGGGCUGAUGCCUCCUUUACCAGACCACUUCUCAGAAAAUGCAGCAGACUUUGUGCGCAUGUGCCUGACCAGGUAAGAAACUGAAAGCAAGAGGAGGAAGAUAAAUGCCCGGAGAUUCCAAGUGGCUGACAUCUCCCUUGCAAUUUAUGGCCCAUUAAAAGCUCUGUUUUGGUUAUGAA